GGUCAGGACCUGGGGACAGUGGGUGGUAUCGGGCUCGAUGCUCCUUCAGCACAGGGAUAGAAAAUGCCCAGUAUUUCCACCUCAGUGUCUACGAGCCCGUGCCCCGUCCCCAGGUCCUGGCUGAGAUCCUGUCCCUCACACGAGACUGGUGCAACGUCACCCUGGAGUGCCACACCCCGGGAGCCACAGGGGCCAUGAACGUGUCCUGGGAGAGCAAGGGCCUCCCCAGGGAGCUGGAGCAGAGAGGGGCCCCAGGACCGGCCCCCAACCCCUGGACCCUGGCUCUGAACCUGCCCCUGAGCCAGCCCAGCCCCAGGGUCACCUGUGUGGUCAGCAUCCCGGUGGACCAGAAAAGUGCCACCCGGGACCUCGGGGAAGUGUGUGUCCACGAGGGAGAAACAGGUCCACACGGACAGGCCGGUGCGUCUUUACUUCGAAACAUCCUGGGGGCUCUUGGGGUCCUGCAGCUGAUCCUCGGAGCUGGGCUGUACCUGCGGUGCUCACGUGGGGAGAGGAAGAGCUUGGAGACUGGGAGAGGCAGGUGCACGUCUCCUCCCCCCCCCAUAC